UUAACCAGAGCCAUAUAGAGUGAGAGUUGCGACAACUCCAUUGACUCCAAUGGAACGCUUUUUUUACAGCAAUGGCGGCUCGUGGAGCCUCUCAAUAGUUCCCGGAAGUAGCGGCAAACCGAUGCCGCGCCGUAGAAGAUGCAGCAGAACAAACCGUUUGCGACGCACUUUUAACAGGUGGAGGAUUAGUGGUGCCACUGAACUGUUCUGUGAUGGAGCAUCAGUGAGGAUGCAGACCCUGGUAACUGGCUGAUGGUUCACAGGAAUGCUGACUGGCUGCUGACUGACUUGCUGCUGGUUGACUGGGCAGUGUCACCUGUCCCUGUCUCUCCUCUCUAGCCAUGUCCUUUUUCUUCACUCUCACUUUCCUUUCUCUGAGUGUCCUCGUUCUUUUUUCCUCAACCUUUGAAACUGAUAGAGGUCUAGGGGUGCAUCGUGGAGCAGGGCCCUCCUCUUUUUGACCACAGGACGGUGUACAAAGAUUGUGGGAAUAGCAUCUGGUCUCAGCCUACUCUUGAAUUUUUUGGUCAUGACAAAUUGCAUUGCCGCAAUUUGUCUGCAUACUGACUUCAGUUUAGUUUCCACACACACCUUUUUUUUUGUCUACCCACUUACAGUACAUAUCACAUGGUGGUUAAAUGCACAGUUAUAGGUAACACUGAUGACUCCCUGCAAUGUCUCACCCUGAGUCUCAGCUCCCUGGGUUUUGCAAGGGUUUGCUUGUUCCUUAUUUCUAGUAAAACAUUGUCAAUGUAAAAAAGUGCAAAUAAAUGUAAGUAUAAUUACCUAACAAUUUUUUGUUGUUGUAAUUUUUAUUUGUAUUUAGAUUGCUCCUGCUGACUUGAGCCAACCAUUAUUUUCUCCUCUCUAUGUCAGCGGGGAAGCCAUACAUUCGCACACCUUUCUCUGACUGAGUGGAGCAUCCCCAUGCAGCACAGUAAACCACGGUGGAGACUAUGCAAGGACAACAUGAAAGAAAGGACACAUACAAAAUGCUUGUCAUGCUAUUAAAUUUAUUAGAAAUGUAUUCAUGAAUUGCUGUAAAUAGUUAAUUGUAUAAUUACAAUUUAAAAUAACUGUUUUCUAUUUUAAAAUGGAAUAUACUCCUGUGAUGCCAACCUGAAUUUUCAGCAUCAUUUUGAAUGGCAGUGUACAUGUUUAUAUACGAGCAUGCUUAAGUUGUUUUAAACCUGAAUAUAUUGUGUACAUGAAUAAGUAUUGUAAGAAUUAUACUAGAUAUAAUAGGUAUAUUAUUUAUAAUACAUAAUUAUAUUACUAUAUGUAAUUGUAAGAAUUAUAAACAGUAAGCUUCAUUUUACAUUUAUUUAACAUGCUAAUUACUGCUGCUAACAGUUAAUUGACCCAUAGUGCGGUGCGAGCUGAAAAUCACCUGUUACCAGCCUGUCUCUGUACUACCUGAAAGUCAUCGAUAUGACAUGAGUUAACAUUAGAUCAGUGAAAAAAUGGACAAUAUGUAACGUAAAAAGGCAACAGCAACCCGUGUUUAUAAAACUUAACGUUAGCCUGAAAUACGUUUUUAAAAUAACGGUAAUUGAACACUAAUCCUCAAAUAUUACCCGAUUUGAUAUUUUAAAAACAACAUCGCUGUAACUACAUACUCAUGCUACAUACAUAUGUCAGUGUGUUGUAUAAACAUAUAAAAUAAAUGCAUUUAUUGACUCCUUAUUACCAGAAA